AAUAGCUCAGCUGGAUAGAGCAACGGCCUUCUAAGCCGUAGGUCGGGGGUUCGAAUCCCUCUUG
rnacentral:tRNA from 1 species